rnacentral:lncRNA from 1 species
GAAUGCUCCCGAGUCCUCAGUAUUAGUCUGAAAUGCCUACCGGGCCCUUUGCUCAUAUAUGGCAUACUCCCGAGUCCUCAGUAUGAGUCUGGAAUGCCUACCGAGCCCUCAGCUCAUAUCUGGAAUACUCUAGGGUUUGUUGGCUACCGCAUGGAGCAAUACAACCUCAACCCAACCCACAUAACAUAUAACAUAACUACUGAGCAUGCAAUAAUCAUAUAACAUCACAGGUAGUCCUACAGGUCUACCUAACUGGCAUAACCACUAGCAUGCAACACAAACUUAUACUCAACAUGAAACACUACAAGGAUAACAUAUCGAAUGUGUCGGCCUUGGUGCGUUAGACCCCUUAGUAUAGUGAGGAUAACUCACCUUGCAACUAUCGAACCAAAUCACAAGAGCACAAUCCAGAAGCACCGCCUCAAACUCCAACACCUAAAUCCAUCAAUAAUCAUUGACAUAAAUAUCCAAAUUACCAUAAUACCCCUAAAGGACAAAGUCAAAGUCAACCUUCCUGCUUGACUCUACUCGCCGAGUCAACCCGUCGACUCGCCGAGUUCUCAUAUAUAGAAAACUCUCAUAUCACGACUUAACUCUCCGAGCCGCCCCAAGACACUUCGAGUCCAACGAUCUCUGAGUUCCAUCCUGAACAACUCACUGAGUCCCCAACCGAAUCACUAAUCCAAGGCUUUAACUGACAGAGGUUAGGUUAUGCGAGCAGACUUGCCGAGUCCAAAAAUAGACACGUCGAGUUCACGACAAUCUUCAAUAGACUCGCCGAGUUGUUCUUCCAACUCGUCAAGUCCAAGAUCAACAUCAUAAGACUCGCCGAGUGACCCAUGCAUCUCUCCGAGUUACCACGCGACUCAAUGUCUGAUCUCUAUCCUGACUUGCCGAGUCAUCUCCUAGACUCGCCGAGUCCAUACGUGCAUUCUCAUAAUCUCGAGUCACAGAGCUACUCCUUUUCUCCAAACAAUAGAUCUGGGUCUUUAGGGUCCAUUAGCAACAUAAAUUUGCCACCUUUACGUGCUUCUUGCCCCAUAAUACCAAACACCAAGCUAGAAAGGGACUUAACUCUUGAGGAAGUGCUUUUGCAUAACAACUAGAAAGGCUUUCUGCAUCAAUGAUCCAUAUAGAACUCAGAUGUGGAGUUUCAACUCCAGAUCUAACUCAUGCUUCAAGAUCUCAUCAAUAUUUCUCCAACCAAACCCUAAAACUCCAUGAAAAUGGAACUAGAAAGGAGAAGGCGAAGGAUAACGAUUCCUUACCUCCAAAAUGAUCUCCUACUGAAGUAUAAUCCGCUUCUCUUCAAGUCUCCUUGAUCCAUGCUUCUUGAUCUUCAAGAUCCCUUCACAAGUCACUCCAAUUUGCUUCCAGGUGUUCUCACAAACGUAAUUAGGGCUUCUGGAUCUCAAAAGGGUAGCAAAGAGGUUGAGGGUGGGUUAUAAUGUGCUUUCUAUAUGGCACAACCCCUAGGAUUAGGGUUUUCUCCCUUCAGCACCAACUCGUCGAGUACAAGCCACCGACUCGGUGAGUUGGCCACUUAAACCCGCAACAAAUCCCGCUCUGACUCGGCGAGUAAGCAUGCCUACUCAUCGAGUCCCUUUCCUCAAUUUACAAUUUAAGCCCUUCAAAAGCACCUCUGGAAUUUGGGGUGUUACAACUCUCCCCCACUUAAAUUAGGCUUCGUCCUCGAAGCCUACUACAGUAUAUGCUUCAGGACAAACCCCUUGCACUGCAGACUCCGAUUUUCUCAAUUAACUCAUGCUCUUACAAACCCUACUUCUAUAUGUCUCUUGAAAUGGCUUAUCCGUACGUGGCAUCCUUGCCACUAUUCGAAGCCAACCAUCGGUCUUUCAACUCCAUAGCACCACAUAUCAGUCACAUAUCACCCAAUGAUACCAUCCCUUCAAAUCAGGAACACACCUUCACGCCCUGCGAACACUAGAUAACACAAACACCCACUGAGCUCUGUUAAGACACUAAUCCAUCCUCCUUCGCCCAUUAUUGGCGAUAACCCUGAUAACUUGCAACCUGGAAUGAACCUUAUUUUCCCCUAUGAUCCUAUACCUCACGCACCGACAGGAUACCGCAUCCUUCAGCUCCCAUAGCCCAUCAACCAAACAUCUCGCGUAACCACUUGUACCUGGCCCACUCAGCCUCGUGCUGUAAAACCGGGCACGCCCAUGACGAGUCCAGACUACUCCCGAGUCUGUUAACCUGCUGUCUCACCUUCCUCUAUCCAAAUCUCCAAUCUAGAACCACUAUCCUCCUCCUAUUCCAAGGAGACUAAAAACAUGCCUACGCAUCAUCCAACAUUGCCACAACCUCAACGCGCGUUCUACCCGUAAGUGAUUCCAUUGCUUCCAUAUAUCUGGUACAGCCCCAAUGCUUACUAUCAAUAACUGAAGUACUUUCGAUCUCCCAUUUACACUACUGCUUGCCAUUCAGAGGACACACACUCCAUCCGGAGCUACACACCUUUCUUUUCCAGGAAACCUACUCAACAACCCUUACCACACUUACAAGUGCCACUGAGCUAAACUCCACUCUACACUAUCUAUGUAGAGCAACAGCUAUUCCAGAACUCCCAUAUAAUCCAAUUCCGAUCACAUACUAACUAGGCCCACGUACGACCUCCAGCCAACUCCAACAUCAUGAUCAAUACUUAGGGCCACACCAUCUCGAUUACCAUUGCAUGGCGACAUAUUCACUCAUUCUCCUCAUACUGAUCCACUAACACAUACAGAGUCUUCAGCAUGACUGGACCGCCUUUCCAGACCUUCAGCCUAUCUGGACCACUCUCAGAACCUUCAGCAUGUCUGUACCGUUCCCCGAGAUCAUAAUACCACUAUGCAUGAUCCACCUAUAGAUAAAGUUGCUUAUCCAAGCAAAAUCCUGCAACCCUUGGUCGCACUCGACCCCAGAAUAGAAUGAUAGACGAAUCUUAGAUCCAACUUGCAAACUAUAACCCAGACCUGAUGACAGGUAUAUCGAAUCAACUCUAAUGCCAUCAUAAAUACCCGCCGUUACACAUGAAGAACCACUACCGUGAAUAUAAUUGGGAGUCCUUAACUUCACAUUCACUCGCCACAAAGCCCAUACUGGAUCGAGACAUAUCUGAUUCUACCGAUACAGAACUAGCCCGAGAAGACUUCCACAAUUAUCCCGAAGGUUACCGCCACACGAGUCUAAUACAGAUCAAAAUUCUAUUUCACCAUUGGGGAGAAACAUAACCCAAAGACUUUGGGAACAUAAACACACUGCAUAAGGGAAUGGGUGGCACGAUCCUAGCUUCGCAACUGUCGCCUCUUGAACCCAUUUGGAGAAUUCCCGCUCCCUAAGGGUUCACAACUUAAUGUCUGUCCGACCAUUCUGGAAAACAUAAUCUCAGCAGCAACAGAAAAAACCUUCAAUGGCUGAUGCUCAACCUGAGAAUUACCAAUUCUCCCCCACUUAGAACACUAACCACCACCCACUGGUGUGAAGCCCAACAUAACUUAGCUGACAAUCCCUAAUGCUCGAAUGGUCCCACUCUCAAAUCUUGAAGUCCAAAGAUAGAUGCUCUACUAAUACUUCAGCAACAAGCUAUUUCCCUUAGCGCUCUCAUACGCUAAUUAAUAACGAUUACUAAAAACCAUUGAAUCCUGACAAUGUUGAAUAACUAUCCCAUAGGACUCUGUCCGCAACCUCCCACAUAAUACCCUUCUUCCCAAAGUACUCCGAAAAAUCUCCCACCCUCGGCUCUAGAAAUACUAUCAUUCAGGGUCUCGCACCCUGCUUACUCACCAGCUCGAUCAUCCAUAUCUGAACUACAGUAGCCGAAGCAACCUCUGCCCUAAACCGGGUUACAAACAACUCCCAAGACAUAGUCUCUAGUCCCCAAAAGUGCAAUAGAUCGUACAAUCAAUACUUAGAGCUCGAUACAAGAGAUCCAAGGUGAACCAGACCUCACAACACACUCAUGCCACAUCGACCCACCCAUGCUUACUAGCGAUGAAAUACUGUCGCCAAUCCUGGUGACCAGCUAACCCGAGCUGGAACACAACCUGAUCCUAGGGUCGCAAGCCUGCUCAAUGCUUGGAGUUCGAACAACUGGAAGAGUAUAAUCCUUGCCCUAGGAAACGACAUUCUUAUCCAUCUAUUAUCCAUUCUACUUCCAGCUACAAAACUCUAACUGAUCAUAAUCAUCGUCCCCUUUCGAAGUCUCUGCAACUCAAAUCUCGGCCUGAAGCAUGACUCCUGAAGCCUCAAACUAGGAAACUAAUAUACUAACUUCUCCCGCUCAACCUGCGGAGUGCAUCGAGUGUGAAACAUUUCCCCAAUCCCAAGUAACUACAGCCCACUGCUCACCAAAAUAUGUCCCAGUGACAAGUCUCGGUACUGCAAGCUCGACCAGCUCCUUCCUUCUGCCGCAGUUACAGCUGUUGUAGCUAUCACAGCGACCGUCCCUGUAAUGGCUGCAUAGCGCUCGUCGAAAUACUCAACUAUGACGGUCUUGAUAGACCCAAACAUAUCCGACAAUUUUUCCCGGACCAUAUCGAUCACCCCCUCCCGGAUGAUCUCACUAACACAAUCCUCUGACAAUACUGACGUAUCCUUACUGACAACUCUCAAUCCUGACCUGGAUUCAGUCUCAAAACGCUUUGUAAUCACCAUUUUGGAAAUACACCAGAAAGAUCUCGAAUAACCCAUAUGCUAACAGGGAACCGACUUCCAACCAACCCUAGGGGUUAUGACUUCCUUGUUAUGCGUAUGGGUUUUGUGCUUUCAGUAGUAUGGGCCCCUACUACCUUCCACACCUACCCAUAUUUGUCUCAAGUAUCACCACAACACCGUGACAAUAUAUGUAAACAUAGCGAGCGCUCAAUCCUCACUCCUAGAGGAAUGUUGGAUAUCUCAUAACUUGCCUCCCGGCCUCUCACAACCCACCUAUCCAUGAAACUUCCACCAACCCUGCCGCACUAGUGUAUGCUAGCCAUACAUAACGCUGGACCCUAUAGACUUUCGAAUAUCCAAUCCUACCCUAAGCUCCCAAUCAAACAAGAAUAGAACAUACGGCCAAAUCAAACAUUCUCAGGCUAUAACAUCUUAGUUAUGUAUAACCGUGAUGCCUACACUAGAUAACUACAACUAUGGUGUCAACUUCAUAUAAGAGAAACCCUAAGCUAGCAGACAUCAUGUAAUCAGGCAAUUCUACCAUGCAAUUCCUGAAGAUACCUAGCCUAGUACUAGCAUGAUGUUCUAACAUAUCACAUAAUCAAAUACUUUUAUGGUAUUUUGGGGUCUACUUACUGGCUCCGGCUGAUCGUACACUUCGCAUCCUCUUUUAGUUAUUUUGAAAACCAUUUAGAAACCAUUUUGAAAAUAUUACCUUAUUUUGAGACUGGAUACACAUGAAUGUUCCUCUAAUUCACUCAAACCAAGUCUCUAAUACCAACUUGUAACAUCCAAAAUUUCGAACCAAAUUAAACUUGUAAAACAUACCAAGUUCAUCAAAACAUUACAACUUUGUUUUCAAAAUAUAUUGAUUAUCAAUGUUUUUCACAGAAACAUAAACAUAAUAAGAGGAGCUGUAUGAUCACACCUUCGCCUUGUCAUGAUCCUCUGAUGUGCCUGAAACAAUAAGCCGAAACUGUAAGCCUGAAAGCUUAGUGUGUUACACCCAAAAUACUGAUAAACAUACAGUCCACAUAGCAAUAUCAACAUUAGCAUAGAAUAUCAAUAAAACAGAACAACAUAUACUGGGUCUACAACUUAACAAGCUGGACUACCCGUGGGCCCUUAGUACGAGUCUAGAAUGCCUACCGGGCCCUCAGCUCGUAUCUGGAAUGCCAUCGAGCCCUCAGUACGAGUCUGGAAUGCCUACCGGGCCCUCAGCUCGUAUUUGGAAUGCUCCCGAGUCCUCAAUAUGAGUCUGAAAUGCCUACCGGGCCCUCAGCUCAUAUCUGGCAUACUUUCGAGUCCUCAGUAUGAGUCUGGAAUGCCUACCGAGCCCUCAGCUCAUAUCUGGAAUACCCCUGAGUCCUCAGUAUGAGCCUGGAAUGCCUACCAGGCCCUCAGCUCAUAUCUGGAAUACUCUAGGGUUUGUUGGCUACCGCAUGGAGCAGUACAACCUCAACCCAACCCACAUAACAUAUAAAAUAACUAUUGAGCAUGCAAUCAUCAUAUAACAUCACAGGUUGUCCUACAGGUCUACCUAACUGGCAUAACCACUAGCAUGCACCACAAACUCAUACUCAACAUGAAACACUACUAGGAUAACAUAUCAAAUGGGUCGGCCUUGGUGCCUUAGACCCCUUAGUAUAGUGAGGAUAACUCACCUUGCAACUACCGAACC